UAAGCAUAUCAAUAAGCGGAGGAAAAGAAACCAACCGGGAUUGCCUCAGUAACGGCGAGUGAAGCGGCAAGAGCUCAAAUUUGAAAUCUGGCCCCUUUGGGGUCCGAGUUGUAAUUUGCAGAGGAUGCUUCGGGUGCGGUCCCCAUCUAAGUGCCCUGGAACGGGCCGUCAUAGAGGGUGAGAAUCCCGUCUGGGAUGGGCGGCCGCGCCCGUGUGAAGCUCCUUCGACGAGUCGAGUUGUUUGGGAAUGCAGCUCUAAGCGGGUGGUAAAUUUCAUCUAAAGCUAAAUACUGGCCGGAGACCGAUAGCGCACAAGUAGAGUGAUCGAAAGAUGAAAAGCACUUUGAAAAGAGAGUUAAACAGCACGUGAAAUUGUUGAAAGGGAAGCGUUGUCCACCAGACUCGCCCGGGGGGGCUCAGCCGGCACGUGUGCCGGUGUACUCCUCUCCGGGCGGGCCAGCAUCGGUUUGGGCGGCUGGUGAAAGGCCCCGGGAAUGUAACACCCUCCGGGGUGCCUUAUAGCCCGGGGUGCCAUGCAGCCAGCCUGGACCGAGGCCCGCGCUUCGGCGAGGAUGCUGGCGUAAUGGUGGUCAACGGCCCGUCUUGAAACACGGACCAAGGAGUCUAACAUCUAUGCGAGUGUUCGGGUGUCAAACCCGUCCGCGCAGUGAAAGCGAACGGAGGUGGGAGCCCCUCGGGGCGCACCAUCGACCGAUCCUGAUGUCUUCGGAUGGAUUUGAGUAAGAGCAUAGCUGUUGGGACCCGAAAGAUGGUGAACUAUGCCUGAAUAGGGCGAAGCCAGAGGAAACUCUAGUGGAGGCUCGCAGCGGUUCUGACGUGCAAAUCGAUCGUCAAAUUUGGGGUAUAGGGGCGAAAGACUAAUCGAACCAUCUGGUAGCUGGUUCCUGCGA
rnacentral:rRNA from 1 species